rnacentral:lncRNA from 1 species
UCAGCUAAUGGCUGAGCGUGCGGCAUGGAAUCAAGGAGGUGUUGGUGAGGAGGGGAGGGAGGAAAUCCUUUCUGCGUUGUCCAGUGGAAUCUGGGUCUGACUUCAACAGCUGUUACGUGAUAGGCUGGAUGAUGCCUCCGCGGCAGGAGCAGCAUCCUUUUAUGUCAUUAGAUCCUUAAUGUUUGAUAUUACAGUUUGUAGCUGUUGUGUCACAUCACUGUCACGUCACCAUUUAGACCUGAGAUUCUAUAAGGCAUUGGCUUCCAUGUGUGUGUGUGUGUUUUGUUUUUGUGUUUAGACAUUGUUCCUUCUGGUGACUAGUGAUUGCAUUAGUACAUUCUUAUAUUUGUGCAUGUCUGGACAAAUUAACUUUCAGCUUGACUGCCUGUGUGUGUAAAUGAGUUUGAAAGGCAAUGUAAUCAGUCAAGAUGAGAACUAAGUGCCCCGUGUGUGUGUGUGUGUGUGUGUGUGUGUGUGUGUGUGUGUGUGUGUGUGUGUGUGUGUGUGUGUGUGUGUGUGUGUGUGUGUUGGCCGCUGGACUUCAGCCAAGCCUUUGCCAGGUCCUUUUUGCUACGUCCUCUCAAGAAUGAAGCACACACUCGAGAGAGAAAACGUGUGUGUACAGUCCAUAAGAGAGAGAGCGAGAGAGCGAGACCGUCUUAAUUCUGUCUCCUUAAUGUAGGAAGCGUCAUGUCCUCUUCUGCUCUGAGCUUCAACCACAGGAGCUGAUGUCACAGAGCGGCGCCUUCCAUCCCGUCAGUCACGACGCCACGGAAAUCUGCCGCACGCGAGCUGCGGGGGCGGCGUGGAGGCGGCUUGUGGGGAAUUCCCGGCGCCGUUUUCAAAGCGUGGCCGGCCCACUUCAACCCAACAUCUGGAAUGGAACGUGGCCCGUGCGCGACCCCGAUGACGCCGGGCCGGGCCGGUGCGCGGCGACAGCGGGGAAACGCUGCUCAGCCCGGUUUCGUUUCCCGCCGACGGCCUCGCGCGGCGCCGCUCCGCUCUGCGUUCACCUGCAGGAUUAAGGUCCAUCCUUGUCAUCCGAUAGGGCAGCGCGCCGUGAUUGACAGCCGGGUUCAGCAUCCUGACACAGGUCCGUGCCCCCGUCAUCAUUGCGGCUCGUCCCACGCUGGCCCUGGGAGUGACAGGCGCCUGCGGAGGCAUUUACUCGCGGUGCCGCUGAAAGAAGCUCCUCCGUGGCCGGAUUUCGCUGGCGCCGCCGACGCACACUAG